GCCGAGGUGGCUCAGUGGUAGAGCACCUCCUUGGUAAGGAGGUGAUCGCGGGUUCGAUUCCCGCUCUCGGCU
rnacentral:tRNA from 1 species